UGAACACGAGAUACACAAAGGGNGCCCCAGCUUGAUGUUAUGGAAAAUGAGCUGGGGUUUGGAUCCAUGAAAGUUAGGGUGAGAAAAUUUCAAAUGAGAUUUGCAAAGCUGCCCCCAGUCUUGGGGUUAUGGAUUGAUGAAAAUUUUGUGUGAGACUCACAAAGCUGCCCCAGUUUUUUAUCGUGGUAUGGGUUGAUGAAAAACUUGUGUGAGGUUCACAAAGUUGCCCCAGUUUUUCUUCGGCAAGGGGUUUAGUUUGGAAGAGGUAGUGGACACGUACAGGAUUGGCU
rnacentral:lncRNA from 1 species